CCAUGAGCCUGCUGUGCCUGGUGGGUGAAUUUAGAUGUGUGAUGGGGUCUAUGCCCCAGUGCAUGGUCCGGUGUGGCCGGGUCACCGCAGCGAAGGGGCUGCUGGGGAAACAGUGGCACUGCGGGCUUUGCCAGGGGAAGGCUGAGCAUCUUGGAGGAGACAGCCAGGAGAAGAAGCCCUAGAAACCAUGCCUGUUCCAUUUGGUAGUUGGUUCUUGCUGGUGUGUGCUGUAGGACCGCCGCUCAUGAUCCACACCGAUUCAGCCACAUGCCUCUGGUACCCAGUGACCCUGCUCCCGGUGCUCCAGGUCCUUCGGCUGGCAUCUCAUAGGUCUUCAUAACUCAGCCAGAGACUUCUGAUUGAUGGCGGCACCCAACACUAAACACAAAGCUGUUUGAAGAUCUCUCGCGGCAGGGUGCCUUGCCCAUUGCAGCAGUGCCUUUGAGCCAUCGCAGUACCCAGUGCAACAAUAAAAAUCCAAAAGAGGGAAUGGAGGCCACUACAGUCCCGUGUAAAGGGCACUGCAGCUUCCCGUCUCAUAGGAAGCGCUCGCUCAGUGACCUAUCGUCUCUGCUGUCUGGACAUCUGUCUCUUCACUUCCUGGAGCAAAAUAAAACAACACCAAAAGAAAGUGUCUCUUUCUUUUGUUUCGCUACUACUCUUCCGCAGGGGCUCUCUGAACUUGUGUGCCCAGCUGGAAUUAAUAUGCCCAGAGUCUCCACAGAGAAGGCUGGGGAAGUGGAGGAGGCCCAAGGGGAUGGUGUGAGUAUUUGCUGUUGAUAUACACAUAAAUCAGAACCAGUGUAUCACUCCGUUGGAUUUCUGAAGCAGGACAAAGGAACCUCAGUUUGUGAUGUGACUCUCCUAGUUUUUAUGUAUCUGGUCCCUAGACUUGUAUGAACAGCCCUUGGCAUAAGUAAUAGCAAAUGCCAAGAAGAGAAAGGCACAUCUUUCUGCAGCUCCAAAUAAGCCAGGAAGGAUGCAUUAUAGGCAG